AUACGUAGGGGGCGAGCGUUGUCCGGAAUGAUUGGGCGUAAAGGGCGCGUAGGCGGCGCGGUAAGUCUGGAGUGAAAGUCCUGCUUUCAAGGUGGGAAUUGCUUUGGAUACUGCCGCGCUUGAGUGCAGGAGAGGUUAUCGGAAUUCCCGGUGUAGCGGUGAAAUGCGUAGAGAUCGGGAGGAACACCAGUGGCGAAGGCGGGUAACUGGACUGCAACGGACGCUGAGGCGCGAAAGUGUGGGGAGCAAACAGGAUUAGAUACCCUGGUAGUCCACACUGUAAACGAUGAAUGCUAGGUGUAAGAGGUAGCGACCCCUUUUGUGCCGGAGUCAACACAAUAAGCAUUCCGCCUGGGGAGUACGGCCGCAAGGUUGAAACUCAAAUGAAUUGACGGGG
rnacentral:rRNA from 1 species